GGAGUGGCUGUGGCUCAAUGGAAGAGUAUCUGCUUGGCAUACAGAAGGUCUUAGGUUCAAACCCUGACAUCUCCA
rnacentral:tRNA from 1 species